rnacentral:lncRNA from 1 species
GCGGAGGCAGUCCAAGUACACUCAACAAUGCUGGCCAGCCUAGGCGCUGCAAUGGACAGCGUACUGAAAGCGGUGCAGCGCCUAGAGCUGAGCCAGCGGAACCCCGCAGCACCGGCCGUCUCUACGCCUUCCCAAGCCACGCCGCCCAGCACGGGAGCGAUGGCCAUUCCGCUACCCAGGGCCUACGACGGGGCGGCGGACCGCUGCCAGGGUUUCCUGCUGCAACUGGACAUCGCGCUCCAGGCAAUGUAUCCUGCGCCGACCGAAGCCCAGAAGAUCUCUUCACUCGUCUCCUGCCUGUCCGGGAAAGCCCUGGAGUGGGCCACCGCCGUUUGGAACUUCGAGCAGCCCACCCAGGGCAGCUACGCUGAGUUCACCCGCCGCUUCCGAGUCGUGUUUGACCAUCCGCACGAAGGGAGAGAGGCGGGUGAACGACUGUUCCACCUACGGCAGGAGACGAGAUCGGCGCAGGAGUUCGCUCUGGAGUUCCGGACCCUGGCAGCGGGAUCGGGGUGGAACGAGCGGGCUCUGAUCGACCACUACCGGUGUAGCCUACGCGAGGACGUCCGGAGGGAGCUGGCUUGUCGAGACGUGUCCCUCUCCUUUGACCAACUGGCGGACAUCUCCAUCCGUCUCGACAACCUGCUAGCUGCCCGAGGACGUCCCGGUAGAGGCCCGCCCGUUCCACCCUGCCAACCCGUCACCGCCGUCCCCGUGGAAUUGGGGGCGGCUGCACUGCCGGGCAGACGUCGGGGAGGGCAGGUGCGGAGUGCCUCCAGGGGGCAACGAGGCCGUAAUACUGCACCACACCGCACCUCCCUCCCUGAGUCAAGAGGCGACAGGCAGGGCACUUCCGCAUCACCCCAGGUAGCACAUGCACAUUCGCCACUAACCUCUUCCCUCUCUAUGUGCACUGUCCCUGUUAGGUUCCCCGGAUUUCCGCUGCUUGCCCGGUGUAAGGCGCUGGUAGACUCAGGCGCAGCCGGGAAUUUCAUGGAUAGGUCUUUU